UUUAAAAUUUAAAGUCUAACCUGCUCAAUGAAAAUUUAAAUAGCCGCAGUAUUUUGACUGUGCAAAGGUAGCAUAAUCAUUAGUUUCUUGAUUAGGAACUUGUAUGAAUGGUUGGAUGAGAAAUGAUCUGUCUCUAUAUAAUUUAAUUAGAACUUUAUUUUUAAGUUAAAAAGCUUAAAUUUUUGUUAAAGACGAGAAGACCCUAUAGAGUUUAACUUGUUUAAGUAUUUGAUUUAUUAGGAAUUUAUGUUUUAUUUGUUUAAGCGGGUUUUGUUGGGGUGACAAGAAAAAUAAAUAAACUUUUCUUUAUUAUUAACAGUGAUUUAUGAGUUGUUGAUCCAAUAUUUUUGAUUAUAAGAGUAAAUUACCUUAGGGAUAACAGCGUAAUUUUUUUUGAGAGUUCUUAUCGAAAAAAAAGUUUGCGACCUCGAUGUUGGAUUAAAAUUAAGAUCGGCGCAGCCGUUGGUCUAUUAAGUCU
rnacentral:rRNA from 1 species